UGGGGAAUAUUGCGCAAUGGGGGAAACCCUGACGCAGCGACGCCGCGUGCGGGAUGAAGGCUUUUGGGUGGUAAACCGCUUUGGAUCGGGAGCAAGCCUUUUGGGUGAGUGUAUCUUUCGAAUAAGCGCCGGCUAACUACGUGCCAGCAGCCGCGGUACUACGUAGGGCGCAAGCGUUAUCCGGAAUUAUUGGGCGUAAAGGGCUUGUAGGCGGUUCGUCGCGUCUGGUGUGAAAGCCCAUCGCUUAACGGUGGGUUUGCGCCGGGUACGGGCGGGCUAGAGUGCAGUAGGGGGGACUGGAAUUCCCGGUGUAACGGUGGAAUGUGUAGAUAUCGGGAAGAACACCAAUGGCGGAGGCAGGUCUCUGGGCUGUUACUGACGCUGAGAAGCGAAAGCGUGGGGAGCGAACAGG
rnacentral:rRNA from 1 species